rnacentral:rRNA from 1 species
CGAGCGAGAAGGGGCAACCUGAGUAAAGCGGCGUACGGGUGAGUAACACGUGGAUCAUCUACCCUCUUGUGGGGAAUAACUUUGGGAAACCGAAGCUAAUACCGCAUAAGUCCGAGAGGAGAAAGCAGCAAUGCGCAGGAGGAGGAGUCCGCGGCCGAUUAGCUAGUUGGUGGAGUAAUGGCCCACCAAGGCAACGAUCGGUAGCCGGCCUGAGAGGGCACACGGCCACACUGGCACUGAGACACGGGCCAGACUCCUACGGGAGGCAGCAGUGGGGAAUCUUGCACAAUGGGGGAAACCCUGAUGCAGCGACGCCGCGUGAGCGAUGAAGCCCUUCGGGGUGUAAAGCUCUUUCGACGGGAACGAUUAUGACGGUACCCGGAGAAGAAGCUGCGGCUAACUACGUGCCAGCAGCCGCGGUAAUACGUAGGCAGCAAGCGUUGUUCGGAGUUACUGGGCGUAAAGAGUACGUAGGCGGUUUGCUAAGUCUGGUGUGAAAUCUCCUGGCUUAACCGGGAGGGUGCGCUAGAUACUGGCAGGCUUGAGUAUGGGAGAGGAGAGUGGAAUUCCUGGUGUAGCGGUGAAAUGCGUAGAUAUGCGGAGGAACACCGAUGGCGAAGGCAGCCUCCUGGGCCAGUACUGACGCUCAUGCACGAAAGCGUGGGGAGCAAACAGGAUUAGAUACCCUGGUAGUCCACGCCCUAAACGAUGUCAACUAGUUGUUCGGUGAGGAGACUCAUUGAGUAACGCAGCUAACGCGUGAAGUUGACCGCCUGGGGAGUACGGCCGCAAGGUUAAAACUCAAAGGAAUUGACGG